rnacentral:rRNA from 1 species
UAGUCCACGCCGUAAACGAUGAGAACUAGAUGUUGGGAGCAUUAGGCUUUCGGUGUCGCAGCUAACGCAUUAAGUUCUCCGCCUGGGGAGUACGCCGGCAACGGUAAAACUCAAAGGAAUUGACGGGGACCCGCACAAGCGGUGGAGCAUGUGGUUUAAUUCGAUGCAACGCGAAGAACCUUACCUGCCCUUGACAUACAGUGAACUUUUCAGAGAUGAAUUGGUGCCUUCGGGAACACUGAUACAGGUGCUGCAUGGCUGUCGUCAGCUCGUGUCGUGAGAUGUUGGGUUAAGUCCCGCAACGAGCGCAACCCUUGUCCUUAGUUGCCAGCACGUAAUGGUGGGAACUCUAAGGAGACCGCCGGUGACAAACCGGGAGGAAGGUGGGGACGACGUCAAGUCAUCAUGGCCCUUAUGGGGCAGGGGCUACACACGUGCUACAAUGGGGGAGUAC